AAGAAAAAUAAAAAAGGGCAAGUAUGAAAGUUGGAAGGGAAAGGAAGCUGUAAUACACGAAGUGGUAGCCUUCAACAAAGUUCGAGUGAUGCGGUAGGGUGUCGUGAAUGCGCAUUGGCUUAGGAACUCCCCCGUAUGAUGUUGUUAACGCGCAUCCUCUAGGUUUCCCGACCACAACCGUCAGUAUGCGGUCGUGUAUUCCACGCGGGCACACUUGUUUGCUAUUUCUUCCUAUAGCAUUAGAAUUUUAACGCGAUUAUGUUCACGCACAGACUUAUGUGUUAGAGGUAUAACACAUACUGAGAGACAUAGAGACUUCUUCAUUAAGCGAGAUACUUACUUAAAAUAAUAAUAAUAAAUAAAACAAUUUGUGGAUAAUUA